AUCCCAUUCCGUGCCAAGGUAGCAUAAUCAUUAGUUCUUUAAUUGUGAUCUGGAAUGAAUGGCUUGACGAGGCACGGGCUGUCUUAGUGUUGAAUGUUUUAUUGAAUUUUGGUCUUUGAGUUAAAAUUCUUAGAUGUUUUUGUGGGACGAGAAGACCCUAUAGAGUUAUAACCC
rnacentral:rRNA from 1 species